CAUCAGUAUUCAGGCGUCAGAGGUGAAAUUCUUGGAUUGACUGAAGACUAACUACUGCCACAGCAUUUGCCAAGGACGUUUUCAUUAAUCAAGAACGAAAGUUAGGGGAUCGAAGAUGAUCAGAUACCGUCGUAGUCUUAACCAUAAACUAUGCCGACUAGGGAUCGGGUGGUGCUACUUUGCCCACUCGGCACCUUACGAGAAAUCAAAGUUUUUGGGUUCUGGGGGGAGUAUGGUCGCAAGGCUGAAACUUAAAGGAAUUGACGGAAGGGCACCACCAGGAGUGGAGCCUGCGGCUUAAUUUGACUCAACACGGGGAAACUCACCAGGUCCAGACGUAAUAAGGAUUGACAAGUUAGAGACUUCUCUUGAUCUUACGGGUGGUGGUGCAUGGCCGUUUUUAGUCCUUGGAGUGAUUUGUCUGCUUAAUUGCGAUAACGGACGAGACCUUAACCUGCUAAAUAGGGCUGCGAGCAUCUGCUCGGGUGCUCUUCUUAGAGGGACUAUGGGUAUCAAACCCAUGGAAGUUUGAGGCAACAACAGGUCUGUGAUGCCCUUAGACGUUCUGGGCCGCACGCGCGCUACACUGACGGAGCCGGCAAG
rnacentral:rRNA from 1 species